rnacentral:rRNA from 1 species
GUGGGGAAUUUUGGACAAUGGGCGAAAGCCUGAUCCAGCAAUGCCGCGUGUGUGAAGAAGGCCUUCGGGUUGUAAAGCACUUUUGGCAGGGAAGAAACAGUGCGUGCUAAUACCAUGCGCGAAUGACGGUACCUGCAGAAUAAGCACCGGCUAACUACGUGCCAGCAGCCGCGGUAAUACGUAGGGUGCAAGCGUUAAUCGGAAUUACUGGGCGUAAAGCGUGCGCAGGCGGCUUUGUAAGACGGAUGUGAAAGCCCCGGGCUCAACCUGGGAAGUGCAUUCGUGACUGCAAGGCUAGGGUGUGUCAGAGGGAGGUGGAAUUCCGCGUGUAGCAGUGAAAUGCGUAGAGAUGCGGAGGAACACCGAUGGCGAAGGCAGCCUCCUGGGAUAACACUGACGCUCAGGCACGAAAGCGUGGGGAGCAAACAGGAUUAGAAACCCCAGUAGUCC